rnacentral:rRNA from 1 species
UCAGGUGGCCGCAGAGAAUAGGCCCAAGCGACUGUUUACCAAAAACAUAGGUUUCUGCUAAGUCGCAAGACGAUGUAUAGGAGCUGACGCCUGCCCGGUGCUGGAAGGUUAAGGGGAUCUGUUAGAGUAAUCGAAGCAGUGAACUUAAGCCCCAGUAAACGGCGGCCGUAACUAUAACGGUCCUAAGGUAGCGAAAUUCCUUGUCGGGUAAGUUCCGACCCGCACGAAAGGCGUAACGAUUUGGGCACGGUCUCAACAACAGACUCG